rnacentral:rRNA from 1 species
UACGGAGGGUGCAAACGUUGCUCGGAAUCAUUGGGCGUAAAGCGCACGUAGGCGGCCCGCUAAGUCGGAUGUGAAAUCCCUCGGCUCAACCGAGGACGUGCAUUCGAUACUGGCAGGCUUGAAUAUGGAAGAGGGUCGCGGAAUUCCCGGUGUAGAGGUGAAAUUCGUAGAUAUCGGGAGGAACACCAGUGGCGAAGGCGGCGACCUGGGCCAAUAUUGACGCUGAGGUGCGAAAGCGUGGAGAGCAAACAGG